GAUGAACGCUAGCUACAGGCUUAACACAUGCAAGUCGAGGGGAAACGGCAUUUAGUGCUUGCACUGAAUGGACGUCGACCGGCGCACGGGUGAGUAACGCGUAUCCAACCUCCCAUUACUGUGGGAUAACCUGCCGAAAGGCAGACUAAUACCGCAUAGUCUUCGAUGACGGCAUCAGAUUUGAAGUAAAGAUUUAUCGGUAAUGGAUGGGGAUGCGUCUGAUUAGCUUGUUGGCGGGGUAACGGCCCACCAAGGCGACGAUCAGUAGGGGUUCUGAGAGGAAGGUCCCCCACAUUGGAACUGAGACACGGUCCAAACUCCUACGGGAGGCAGCAGUGAGGAAUAUUGGUCAAUGGGCGCGAGCCUGAACCAGCCAAGUAGCGUGCAGGAUGACGGCCCUAUGGGUUGUAAACUGCUUUUGUAUGGGGAUAAGGUCAAUCACGUGUGAUUGUGUGCAGGUACCAUACGAAU
rnacentral:rRNA from 1 species